rnacentral:rRNA from 1 species
CGUCGCUGGCGGCCGCCUACACCUGCACGUCGAACGAAGUACAAUACUUAGUGGCAGACGGGUGAGUAACAUGUAGGUAUCUGCCCUUUGGCCUGGAAUAACACGAGGAAACUUGUGCUAAUACCGGAUAAGUCUUUACGGAGAAAGCUUUAUGCACCAUUGGAUGAGCCUGCAUUUGAUUAGUUUGUUGGUGGGGUAAUGGCCUACCAAGACUGUGAUCAAUAGCUGAUUUGAGAGGAUGAUCAGCCACAUUGGGACUGAGACACGGCCCAAACUCCUACGGGAGGCAGCAGUGGGGAAUCUUGCACAAUGGAGGAAACUCUGAUGCAGCGAUGCCGCGUGAGUGAAGAAGGCCUUUGGGUUGUAAAGCUCUUUCGUCGGGGAAGAAAAUGACUGUACCCGAAUAAGAAGGUCCGGCUAACUUCGUGCCAGCAGCCGCGGUAAUACGAAGGGACCUAGCGUACUUCGGAAUUACUGGGCUUAAAGAGUUCGUAGGUGGUUGAAAAAGUUAGUGGUGAAAUCCCAGAGCUUAACUCUGGAACUGCCAUUAAAACUUUUCAGCUAGAGUAUGAUAGAGGAAAGCAGAAUUUCUAGUGUAGAGGUGAAAUUCGUAGAUCUUAGAAAGAAUACCAAUUGCGAAAGCAGCUUUCUGGAUCAUUACUGACCACUGAGGAACGAAAGCAUGGGUUGCCAAAGAGGAUUAGAUACCCUCGGUAAUCCCAUGCCGGUAAAACAAUGUUUUGUUAAAACGUCGGGAAAAUUACUUUUCAAGUGUCCCAGCGAAAAGCAUUAAACACCGGUGGGGAGU